rnacentral:tRNA from 1 species
UCUUCGCUAGUAUAUCGGUUAGUAUAAUCGCCUCUCAUUAGAGAGAUUCUAAUCACUGAUUGGAAAGUUCGCGAUAGAGCAGGGUUCGACUCCCUGGCGGAGAA